rnacentral:rRNA from 1 species
CCUACGGGAGGCAGCAGUAGGGAAUUUUCGGCAAUGGGGGGAACCCUGACCGAGCAACGCCGCGUGAACGAAGAAGUUAUUCGUAAUGUAAAGUUCUUUUAACAGGGAAGAAAGAGAAAUUUGACGGUACCUGAAGAAUAAGCUCCGGCUAACUACGUGCCAGCAGUCGCGGUAAUACGUAGGGAGCGAGCGUUAUCCGGAAUUAUUGGGCGUAAAGGGUGCGUAGAUGGCAUAGUAAGUCUUUUGUAAAAAUGCUGGGCUAAACCCAGUAGGGCAAAAGAUACUGGAAAGCUAGAGUAUGACAGAGGCAAGGGGAACUAGAGGUGUAGCGGUAAAAUGCGUAGAUAUAUGUAAGAACACCAGUGGCGAAGGCGGCUUGCUGGGUCGAUACUGACAUUGAGGCACGAAAGCGUGGGGAGCAAACAGGAUUAGAUACCCCAGUAGUC